rnacentral:rRNA from 1 species
GAUGAACGCUGGCGGCGUGCCUAAUACAUGCAAGUCGAGCGAACAGACGAGGAGCUUGCUCCUCUGACGUUAGCGGCGGACGGGUGAGUAACACGUGGAUAACCUACCUAUAAGACUGGGAUAACUUCGGGAAACCGGAGCUAAUACCGGAUAAUAUAUUGAACCGCAUGGUUCAAUAGUGAAAGACGGUUUUGCUGUCACUUAUAGAUGGAUCCGCGCCGCAUUAGCUAGUUGGUAAGGUAACGGCUUACCAAGGCGACGAUGCGUAGCCGACCUGAGAGGGUGAUCAGCCACACUGGAACUGAGACACGGUCCAGACUCCUACGGGAGGCAGCAGUAGGGAAUCUUCCGCAAUGGGCGCAAGCCUGACGGAGCAACGCCGCGUGAGUGAUGAAGGUCUUCGGAUCGUAAAACUCUGUUAUUAGGGAAGAACAAAUGUGUAAGUAACUAUGCACGUCUUGACGGUACCUAAUCAGAAAGCCCCGGCUAACUACGUG